UUCCCCUACCAUGAAAAGAUAAGUAAAUAACUAUUCACUUGUAUUAUAAAAAAGCUCAACGUUCACUACUGAAAUGCAUAUCUACAAAAGUUAUUAGAUUUUAAUUCUCUUAUUUAAAUUACAAUCUACAAGUUGAAUGUGUUAUUAACUUCUAUUCUUUUCAUCUCUGAGGCUUCAAAGGUAAAAUUAUGAACAAGGAUAGCCAGAUAAGGUCAUUAUUGGAGUGCAGAACAUUACUCAUCCUAGAUCCCAGCUUUGCAGGAUUAUGACUGAUUUGGAGAUAAACAACAAUUAAGAUGGUGUGGCAAAGCAUACCUUAAGGUUAUUUCCCGCAGUUUUUUUCUUCUCAACUGCUUUCAAACUGGGUGUACUAGAAAGAGGCCUAGGAUCUUUUGCAGUACCUGCAGGUGACUCAAGGGAGGAUUCUUUGGGCAAGCUAUCUACUUUCCUGGAUAAAUUACACAAUGGAUCCUGCAUGAAGGAAGAUUGAUCACAGGGCCUGCUUUUCCGCUCAAAAGCAUUUGAAGUAGAGAACAAAAGCCAUGGACAUGAACAUGAUCACUAAUGCACAUAAAGGUAGAAUACUACCAAGUACCUACUGUAACACUUGCAAAGAAUACCUAUUUCACAAACUCAACAAGCUUCUCUAACAAAAUUUGAGGUCUAAGCUCUCACUUUAAGAGCUGUUGGCAGGUCAGUAAUCUAUCUUCCACACAUUAUAAAUGCAUAUCAUGCUUAAUAGAACAAACAGUAAGAUCCUUUCUACCAUGUUUGUCUAUGAAAUCCAUUAUAGGUAGU